rnacentral:rRNA from 1 species
AAAACUCCGGUGGUAUGAGAUGGACCCGCGUCUGAUUAGCUGGUUGGAGGGGUAACGGCCCACCAAGGCGACGAUCAGUAGCCGGCCUGAGAGGGUGAACGGCCACAUUGGGACUGAGACACGGCCCAGACUCCUACGGGAGGCAGCAGUGGGGAAUAUUGCACAAUGGGGGAAACCCUGAUGCAGCGACGCCGCGUGAAGGAAGAAGUAUCUCGGUAUGUAAACUUCUAUCAGCAGGGAAGAAAAUGACGGUACCUGACUAAGAAGCCCCGGCUAACUACGUGCCAGCAGCCGCGGUAAUACGUAGGGGGCAAGCGUUAUCCGGAUUUACUGGGUGUAAAGGGAGCGUAGACGGAAGAGCAAGUCUGAUGUGAAAGGCUGGGGCUUAACCCCAGGACUGCAUUGGAAACUGUUUUUCUAGAGUGCCGGAGAGGUAAGCGGAAUUCCUAGUGUAGCGGUGAAAUGCGUAGAUAUUAGGAGGAACACCAGUGGCGAAGGCGGCU